rnacentral:pre_miRNA from 1 species
UGUGUACUUCCUCCGUCCGAAAAUACUGGUCAUAAAAAAAGGAUGUAUUUAGAACUAAAAUACGUCUAGAUACAUCUCCUUUUAUUCAUUUUGAUGACAAGUAUUUUCGGACGGAGGGAGUAUUGU